GCUCUACAGCGACACUAGCGGCUGGCUGACCUGUCUUGGUUGAGUUUUCUGUAGAAAGUGUUCCAUGUUUUCUGUCGGUGGAGGCUUUCUUUUGUGUUUGAUGAGUCGGAGGAGAUAUCAAGAUGUUUGCCGUUGAAAUCUCCCAUGAUGAGGGUGUGGCUGGAGGUGGAUACAGCUUGAAACAGUUUUCUGAGGUCGUCUCGCAGGUGGACAAGAUGGGUGCUGUCGCUGGAAUUCUGGGUCAAGGUGUUUUUCAGACUGACACAUCAGAAGAAAAUUAACGUUGUUUGAGACCUGUUUCUGUCUCAGGACCAAACUCUCACAAGAUCUUGCAACACGGAUAAGCUAACGUCAGCUAAUGUAUGUCAAUGCCCUAACAAAACUAAUCUCCUAAGAUGCUAAAUAUGUCUGCUGAAAGUGCAGUGUAUGUUACCCUAGAUUACCUUCAGCCUUUGAAAGUAAAAACCUGCCUCUUAAUGAUAGAUCUCUUAAAAGCCAUUGAUUCAAUUUUCUUUUUGUUUUUUCAAUAAUAUGAUUAAAAUGAAUUUAACAUC